GAUCCUGGCUUAGGACGAACGCUGGCGGCGUGCUUAACACAUGCAAGUUGAACGGUAUGACAUGGAAGCUUGCUGAAGUGUCAUAUAGUAGCGGACGGGUGAGUAAUGCAUGAGAAGCUGCCAUUGGGAGGGGGACAACAGUUGGAAACGGCUGCUAAUACCCCGUAUGCCGGAAGGUGAAAGGGAGCGAUCCGCCCGAUGAGGUGCUCAUGUCCUAUCAGCUGGUUGGUGGGGUAACGGCCUACCAAGGCGACGACGGGUAGCCGGCCUGAGAGGGUGAACGGCCACACUGGAACUGAGAUACGGUCCAGACUCCUACGGGAGGCAGCAGUGGGGAAUAUUGGGCAAUGGGGGGCAACCCUGACCCAGCGACGCCGCGUGGGGGAAGACGGCCUUCGGGUUGUAAACCUCUUUUGUACGGGAAGAAGGAAGUGACGGUACUGUACGAAUAAGUCCCGGCUAACUACGUGCCAGCAGCUGC
rnacentral:rRNA from 1 species